rnacentral:rRNA from 1 species
UACGUAGGGUGCAAGCGUUGUCCGGAAUUAUUGGGCGUAAAGAGCUCGUAGGCGGUCUGUCGCGUCUGCUGUGAAAACUCGGGGCUUAACCCCGGGCCUGCAGUGGGUACGGGCAGACUAGAGUGCGGUAGGGGAGACUGGAAUUCCUGGUGUAGCGGUGAAAUGCGCAGAUAUCAGGAGGAACACCGGUGGCGAAGACGGGUCUCUGGGCCGUAACUGACGCUGAGGAGCGAAAGCAUGGGGAGCGAACAGG